CUUAGAUAACCCACGAGGAUUCCAUAGAUCAGUGGAGAAAAGUUUUUGAAGUGUCGGGAAUUAUUUCUGUAUUGACAUAUAUGUUUUAUCAAUUCUUUGGUACUGCAGAAAUACAAUCUUGGAAUACACAACGACCAGUUAGCAAUCCGCGGCAUGAGUUGCUUAAAAUACUGUCAA